AUGACGAACACAAAGGGUAAGAGGCGAGGCACCAGAUAGAUGUUCUCUAGGCCUUUCAGAAACACAGAGUUGUUCCUUUGGCCAUGUACACACAAAUCUAUAAGAAAGACGAUAUUAGACAUCGAGGGAAUGUGUACUAUUCAAAAAGGAAUGUCCCAUAAGUGUUACCAUGGCAAAACUGUGUCUACACUGUUAACCAGCAUGCUGUUGGCAUUGUUGUAAACAAAGAAGCUAAGGGCAAGAUUCUUGCCAAGAGAAUUAAUGUGCGGAUUGAGUACAUUAAGCACUCUAAGAGCCAAGAUAGCUUCCUGAAACGCAUGAGGGAAAAUGAUCAGAAAAAGGAAGCCAAAAAGAGAGGUACCUGGGUUCAACUCAAGUGCCAGGCUGCUCCACCCAGAGAAGUGUACUUUGUGAGAACCAAUGGAAAGGAGUCUGGGCUGCUGGAACCUAUCCCCUAUGAAU
rnacentral:lncRNA from 1 species